UACGUAGGGUGCAAGCGUUGUCCGGAAUUAUUGGGCGUAAAGAGCUCGUAGGCGGCUUGUCGCGUCGAAUGUGAAAACCUGCAGCUCAACUGCAGGCUUGCAUUCGAUACGGGCAGGCUCGAGUUCGGUAGGGGAGACUGGAAUUCCUGGUGUAGCGGUGAAAUGCGCAGAUAUCAGGAGGAACACCGGUGGCGAAGGCGGGUCUCUGGGCCGGUACCGACGCUGAGGAGCGAAAGCGUGGGGAGCGAACAGG
rnacentral:rRNA from 1 species